rnacentral:piRNA from 1 species
UCCAAUGAGUUGAGAGCAAGCCCUGGAAGU